AUUGAACGCUGGCGGAAUGCUUUACACAUGCAAGUCGAACGGCAGCACGGGGCAACCUGGUGGCGAGUGGCGAACGGGUGAGUAAUACAUCGGAACGUGCCCAAUCGUGGGGGAUAACGUAGCGAAAGUUACGCUAAUACCGCAUACGAUCUACGGAUGAAAGCGGGGGAUCGCAAGACCUCGCGCGAAUGGAGCGGCCGAUGUCAGAUUAGGUAGUUGGUGGGGUAAAGGCUCACCAAGCCGACGAUCUGUAGCUGGUCUGAGAGGACGACCAGCCACACUGGGACUGAGACACGGUCCAGACUCCUACGGGAGGCAGCAGUGGGGAAUUUUGGACAAUGGGCGCAAGCCUGAUCCAGCCAUUCCGCGUGCAGGAUGAAGGCCUUCGGGUUGUAAACUGCUUUUGUACGGAACGAAACGGCUCUCUCUAAUACAGGGGGCUAAUGACGGUACCGUAAGAAUAAGCACCGGCUAACUACGUGCCAGCCGCCGCAGUAACAC
rnacentral:rRNA from 1 species